rnacentral:rRNA from 1 species
UACGUAGGCAGCGAGCGUUGUUCGGAGUUACUGGGCGUAAAGCGUGCGUAGGCGGUGGUCCAAGUCUGGUGUGAAAUCUCCCGGCUCAACUGGGAGGGUGCGCCGGAAACUGGGCCGCUGGAGUAUGGGAGAGGCAAGCGGAAUUCCAGGUGUAGCGGUGAAAUGCGUAGAUAUCUGGAGGAACACCCGUGGUGCAGACGGCUUGCUGGACCAUCACUGACGCUGAGGCACGAAAGCGUGGGUAGCAAAC